AUGCAAGUCGAACGAGAAAGUGGAGCAAUCCAUGAGUAAAGUGGCGACCGGGUGAGUAACACGUNUCACCUACCUCCGAGUGGGGAAUAACUCCGGGAAACCGGGGCUAAUACCGCAUAACAUCGCAAGAUCAAAGCAGCAAUGCGCUUGGAGAGGGGGUCGCGGCUGAUUAUCUCGUUGGCGGGGUAACGGCCCACCAAGGCGAAGAUCGGUAUCCGGCCUGAGAGGGCGCACGGACACACUGGAACUGAAACACGGUCCAGACUCCUACGGGAGGCAGCAGUGGGGAAUUUUGCGCAAUGGGGGAAACCCUGACGCAGCAACGCCGCGUGGAGGAUGAAGCCCUUUGGGGCGUAAACUCCUUUCGACUCGGACGAUAAUGACGGUACGAGUGGAAGAAGCACCGGCUAACUCUGUGCCAGCAGCCGCGGUAAUACAGAGGGUGCGAGCGUUGUUCGGAAUUAUUGGGCGUAAAGGGCGCGUANGCGGUGCGGUAAGUCACCUGUGAAAUCU
rnacentral:rRNA from 1 species